rnacentral:misc_RNA from 1 species
UACGAACUGCGCGAACGUUAUUCGGAAUCACUGGGCUUACAGGGUGCGUAGGCGGCCGAUCAGGUCCGAUGUGUAAUCCCCCGGCUCAACCGGGGAAUGGCAUUGGAAACCGACCGGCUCGAGUGAGCUAGAGAUGCACGGAACUUCCGGUGGAGCGGUGAAAUGUGUUGAGAUCGGAAGGAACACCAGAGGCGAAGGCGGUGCAUUGGGGCUUGUCUGACGCUGAGGCACGAAAGCCAGGAGAGCGAACGGG